rnacentral:rRNA from 1 species
GACGAACGCUGACGGCGUGCCUAAUACAUGCAAGUCGGGCGAAGUUUUUCUGGUGCUUGCACUAGAAAAACUUAGCGGCGAACGGGUGAGUAACACGUAAAGAACCUGCCUCAUAGACUGGGACAACUAUUGGAAACGAUAGCUAAUACCGGAUAACAGCAUUAACUGCAUGGUUGAUGUUUAAAAGUUGGUUUUGCUAACACUAUGAGAUGGCUUUGCGGUGCAUUAGCUAGUUGGUGGGGUAAAGGCCUACCAAGGCGACGAUGCAUAGCCGACCUGAGAGGGUGAUCGGCCACACUGGGACUGAGACACGGCCCAGACUCCUACGGGAGGCAGCAGUAGGGAAUCUUCCGCAAUGGGCGAAAGCCUGACGGAGCAACGCCGCGUGAGUGAAGAAGGAUUUCGGUUCGUAAAGCUCUGUUGUUAGGGAAGAAUGAUUGUGUAGUAACUAUACACAGUAGAGACGGUACCUAACCAGAAAGCCACGGCUAACUACGUGCCAGCAGCCGCGGUAAUACGUAGGUGGCAAGCGUUGUCCGGAAUUAUUGGGCGUAAAGCCGCGCAGGUGGUUUAAUAAGUCUGAUGUGAAAGCCCACGGCUCAACCGUGGAGGGUCAUUGGAAACUGUUAAACUUGAGUGCAGGAGAGAAAAGUGGAAUUCCUAGUGUAGCGGUGAAAUGCGUAGAGAUUAGGAGGAACACCAGUGGCGAAGGCGGCUUUUUGGCCUGUAACUGACACUGAGGCGCGAAAGCGUGGGGAGCAAACAGG